rfam:Myotis davidii contig293156, whole genome shotgun sequence.
AGGCUAGUAGCUCAAUGGUAGAGCACACUUUUGAUAAGGGUGUAGUUUCUGGUUCAAUUCCAGAGUGGCCUA